rnacentral:ncRNA from 2 species
UAUUUAGCCUUUGCCUGAGGCGCUCUCACGAGCUUAAUAGGGAAUCCCGUUAAAGUCGGGAACGGACCCGCCGCCGUGAGUCCUUAACGGUUUUACCCCGUGUGGCCGGAAUAAAUCCGGUCCUGUGUGCCACUGAAUAAAUUUUCGGGAAGGCCGGGUGAAAUGGGACGAGUCGGAAGACCUGCCCGGGUGCAAAUCACGAU